rnacentral:rRNA from 1 species
UACAGAGGGUGCAAGCGUUGUUCGGAAUCAUUGGGCGUAAAGGGCGCGUAGGCGGCAAUUCAAGUCAUCUGUGAAAUCUCUGGGCUUAACCCAGAACGGCCAGGUGAUACUGCUUUGCUAGAGUGCGGAAGGGGCAAUCGGAAUUCUUGGUGUAGCGGUGAAAUGCGUAGAUAUCAAGAGGAACACCUGAGGUGAAGACGGGUUGCUGGGCCGACACUGACGCUGACAGCGCGAAAGCCAGGGGAGCAAACGGG